ACGUGGAUACUUCUUCCAUCUGGGGUCCAGAUAAAAUCUGAAUGAAAGUAACAGGACACCAGAAGUGUUGCAGGAUUUUUUUAUCGCAAUACCUGGGAUUUGUUGUCUCGCAGCUUCGAAGAAUAAAGAGGGCUCAAAACCUUUACACAAAAGCCAGCCAAAUGUUCCUAAUUCUAGGGAACAUGUUAUUUUAGCCUUCAUGAUGAUGACUCAACCCUGUGCCUCACUGCUAUGUAAGAUUCCAACAGAGAUGACAUUUUGCAAUCCAGAGAAGCAACAUGUCCCCUGUCUGGAGGUGAACUGAGAAAUAGUUCGCUUCAAAUGGGCCUCUAAACAGCUGUCAGAUUCAGAGGAGAAUCACGCAUUGCAGCAUCCAGCUUAACUCGUAUUUCUGAAUAUACUACAACUCACCAUAUUCACCCCCCCCCCCCCCCCCCACGCGUUGGCCAAGAACUAGCUAGGUUCAAGUGUAACUUAACCACUUAUUUUGACUCUUCCCAUUCCUGACCCAACUUAAAACUCUUAAUUGUUCCAAGUAUCUUACCCAUGAAUUGUUUUAUACUGCCUCAGAGGACGAGACUUCCACACCCAUGAAUGGGUUUUGCAAGAAACUGAUAUUGGACCACGGGUAUUUCUUUACUCCUGGAAGAUCGUGAGAAGAAAGUCGGCUCCAGAGUAUGUUCAUCUUGUUAGUAGACCUGCAAAGAGCCCAAGUAUCACCCACCAAACUAACCUCAGUCACCUGAAGGAGGUUUGCAACAAUAGCUGUAACAUUCCCUUCCCUCUAUCGUAGACUACACAAUGUGACUUUGCACUGUCUUCCAUCUUGAGGUGGAGUCUAG